UACAGACGGCGCAAGCGUUAUCCGGAAUGAUUGGGCGUAAAGAGCGCGCAGGCGGCUUGGCAAGUCGGGUGUGAAAUCCCGGGGCUCAACCCCGUGACUGCAUCCGAUACUGUCAGGCUAGAGGUAGGUAGGGGAGAUCGGAAUUCCUGGUGUAGCGGUGAAAUGCGCAGAUAUCAGGAGGAACACCGGUGGCGAAGGCGGAUCUCUGGGCCUUACCUGACGCUCAGGCGCGAAAGCUAGGGGAGCGAACAGG
rnacentral:rRNA from 1 species